rnacentral:tRNA from 3 species
GGGCCGGCAGCUCAGUCUGGCUAGAGCGCGGGACUUUUAAUCCCGUGGUCCCGGGUUCAAAUCCCGGCCGGCCCACCA